AACAUGGAAGCAAAUUAUUGAUGUUUUCACUUUCUUUGUAAAUACCAAGCCUCUGAAGUCCACUGUGUGUCUUACAAUUGCUUCAGGGCUCUCUUCCGACCAGCACAUUUCACGUUGCCAUAGUGGACAGUUCUAGAAGCUUCUGGGGUUAGAAGACAGCCACAUCCAUCCCUUCAGCGUGCAUUUACUGAGAAGCUGCGAUCUGCUGCACGGGUUUCGGGUGCGAGAAGGAAAGUCACCUUCUCUGUCUCCCCGGGGGUUGGUGUGCCUGUGACAGGUCACUCAUUCGUUCGUCAUCCGUGCCUCGACCAGCGUCUGUCGAGCACCCGUAACCUGCCAAGCUCCAUUCCAGGUGCUAGAGAUACAGCUGUGAACAAAACAGACCCGGUCCCUGGGCCGGCAGCUCGGAGGUGAACUGGGCAAACAUACAAGGAGGCGAUUACAAGUCCCCAGGAGGCAGGGCGGUGGGAGGCCGGAGGAGAGGGGCCGAACUCAACCCAGCUCAGCAGGCUUGCCAGACGGACCCUUGGGCUUGGGAGAGGGGGGUAGGUGUUGGGAGGGUGUGGAGGAGGAGGAGUGGCUCGGGGCCGAGGGAACAGCAAACCCUAGGGUCCAAUGGGGAGCGGGGACCUCUGGACGACCGGCACAUUCUUCCAGACGCGGAUGCUGCUGGAGAGCGAGGGACACAGGAGGACGUGGAAGGCAUCCAGAGGGCCUGUGCGGGCUACCUACGGUAUGCGAAGGUGUCUGGAAUGCUCUAGAGGUUCUCCCAAAGGCAUCGAGGAAUGCUUGAAGAUACCGCCUCCUACGACCUUGCUCAAGCCGCUUUUCCUUCCCCACUCCCCAUUCUCUCCUCGAAUAAUGGGAAACUCACACCCUCAGCUCUCUCGUCUUCCAUUUGGGCCAGUUUGCACCAGAGUGGGAACCCUGGCCCCAGGCUUCUCUGAGGGGUCCUGAGGUGACAGAUUGAGGUGUACGAAGCUGACACAGAAGAGGGUCACCCCCCUCCUCACUGGUGUCCCCACAGAUCCCCACCCCCACCCCGGGCUCUUCUCGCAAGCACAAGGGCCACGUCCCUUCCCUUCCCGUCACCCUUGGCGAGGCCAGCCAGGCUUGCGUGGUCAGCCUCCCCCUGCUCACGUGCCUUCCUCUCGUCCCCACCACUUUCCCGCCAGGCUGGCUGUCUUCAUUUUCCCUGGGGGUCUUUGCACAUGCUGUUCCCUCUUCCUGGAAUGCUCUUCCCCACUCCCUUCCCCCUUUGCAGACUGGCUCCUGGAUGGCCUUCAGAUGUCGGCGAAGCUGCCUUUGCAACGUGGCUCACAACUUGUCAUAAUUUUUUGUUUGUUUCCGUUUACCGUCUGUCCCCUCACGCGCACACAGGAGACCGUGAGUUCUCGCCCCGGCUCCCCAGCAUCUAGAACCGCGCCCAGCACGGAGAGGCACCCAGCAGACCUGCGCUGAAGGAAUAAAUGAAGUUUUAAAACUUCC